CUGUCAUUUGCCGUGUGAUUUAGCAAAGUGAAGACGUGCGCAAGACACAAAGGUGAAAAACUAUUUCAGUGAAUUGGACAUAUGUGCGACCCUUCCGUACCUCGAGGCCUCUUUGCUCUUCGCUAGACCAGACAGCUAAGGGAAAAAAUACCAUAGCCUAGAACAUGGAACAUGUAUAUACAUAUAUAAGUAACUGUAUUACAAAAUAAAAUAUAAAAAAAAUA